AGAGUCUGACCUACGCUGAGCAACUGGCACUGGAACUUGUCAACCAGCUGGCCCUUGCUGGAAAGGUGAAUGCUACAUAUCUCACCGUGACCAGAAACCUUUCAACUGAGGGUGACAUCCAAUGCUGGCGCCAAAUCAAUAUGGGCUAUUCCGGGUUGAAGAAGGAAGAAAUGGUGGGGGAGCUGGUCGGAGGUCUCAGUGUGGGCCGCUCCGUCGUCCUCAGGGGACGAAUCAUGCCGAACCCAAAGAGGUACAGUGCUUGGCCUCAAAGCUGUUCAUAUGACAACACGCCGCGCUUUUUUUUGGGUUGCAGUUUCGAAG